UACGUAGGGUGCGAGCGUUAAUCGGAAUUACUGGGCGUAAAGCGUGCGCAGGCGGUUUGUUAGGACAGAUGUGAAAUCCCCGGGCUUAACCUGGGAACUGCAUUUGUGACUGGCAAGCUAGAGUAUGGCAGAGGGGGGGUAGAAUUCCACGUGUAGCAGUGAAAUGCGUAGAGAUGUGGAGGAACACCGAUGGCAGGCAAGGCCUGAGCCCCUGGACUACACUGACGCUCAGGCACGAAAGCGUGGGAUCGAAACAG
rnacentral:rRNA from 1 species